GAAGGCUCCUGAAGGGGAGACCUUAGAGCAGCUCCAGUGCCUGAAGGGGCUGCAGGAAACCUGGAGAGGGGCUUGGGACAAGGGAUGUAGGGACAGGCCAAGGGGAAUGGCUUUAACCUGCCAGAGGAGAGACUGAGAUGAGCUCUUAGGCAGAAGCCCUUCCCUGUGAGGGUGCUGAGGCGCUGGCACAGGGUGCCCAGAGAAGCUGUGGCUGCCCCAUCCCUGGCAGUGUUCAAGGCCAGGUUGGACACAGGGGCUUGGAGCAAGCUGCUCUAGUGGAAGGUGUCCCUGCCUGUGGCAGGGGUUGGAGCUGGAUGAGCUUUAAGGUCCCUUCCAACCCAAACCAUUCUGGGAUUUCAUGAAAACAAAAAGAAAAUGCAGUAGGGAAGACUCAUCAGAGCAAACAGCACAAGUCUGAUGAUGGAGCAGGAUGUUAAUGCAGUGAACAGGAGAGGCUGAGACCUGCAUGUUGUAUGUCGGGCAGUGUCCUAAGAGCUGCCACUAGAUACAAAGGAAUUCCAUUUACCUCGGAGUGCAGAAUGGCCAAUAUUUGUUAAUAGUCUCCAAAACAAGCCAUUCCUAUGUACCACUUACAGCAUUUAACAAGUGCUGUUAUUUAGGGUGUCAAAUAAAUGCUUUCUGAUCUCCUGUUCUUAACAGAAGUGCAUUUGAUGGAUGCCAUUCAGAGCACAGUUCAUGUGCUGCAGGGCUUGCCUAGAGUCCUGGGACACAGUGUGUUUAGGCCUUUGAGAAGGCACCUCUAAGCAGGGCUGAAUCAGCUGUGGUCUGUCUGUUGCUCUCCCAGUAAAUGAAGUCUCCUUCCAGCUGUGUCCAGGUUACAGAAUCAGCUGAGUCUAAUGCAGCUGAAUGAGUCAGGACUGUGCAGUUGUAACUCAGAUGGUGAAUGGCAGGAUUGGCGUGUUCGUCAUUCCUUUAGAAAGAUGGGUGCUUGCUUUGAAACCAUUUUGUCCAAAGGAGCAGGAGAAAAUGGUUGUUUUGAGUGAGAAGUGGGCACUUCCCUCAAUCAGAACAUCUUCCCCAGCAGAACAGCUCUAUUUGCUAUUCAUGUGCAGUCAACCCACUUCCAGGCAAGUUACUUAAAGAGCAUUUGUUCAGUGUUGGUGAUGCUGCAACGGAGCUGGCCCCGGCUGUAGGGGGUAUCCACCAGCAGAAAGCCGUUUCCACUCACCAGUGGCAACCAAGCCAGAGCUCUCACAGAAACAUGGACCCAUCCAGGUCCUUCAUUAGUAACUGAUGGCGUUAGUGAGAACAGCUGCGUGAGGUGUCACCAAGACACUCUGCUAUGCCUGUUGGCAGAGCUAUGGGAGGAAACAGGUUAAAAAGCAUCAGGGAGUCUGAGAAAGAGGCUGGCUGUGGAACCAUGCUCUGCCCUCCCUGAGGUGGGCACAGUCACCAGGAAAAACCAAGCAAGGUCAAGGGGGUCCUGUGUCCUCUCCCCGCCGAGCAGAAGGCAGUAGCUUAAAGGAAAUGAGGGAAUAGAGGCAAGUCCAUGCUCAGGGUUGCAGGCAAAACUUGUCCUUGCCCACUUCCCUUUCCCAGGUGCCUCUGUACAACAGGUAAGAGGCUCUAGAUGUGGAAGGGAAGUCAAUUGUUAAUGUGGAUGAGGGUCCCUCUACACUAGAGGUGUUGCCAAGAUCAGAAAGGCUUACCCCUGUAUUGUGACAGAUACAUCAGGAAGGAUUAUAGCUGUAGGUGAUUCUCUUCUGAGAGGAACAGAGGGUCUGAAAUGCCACAGACCCUCCUGUGAGGGAAGUGCUGCUUUCCUGGGGCCUGGGUUAAGGCCAUCACUAAGAAACCUCCUAGCCUGGUAUGGCCCUCAGACUGCUGCCCAUUACUGCUCUUCCGUGGGGGUGGCGAUGAAGUUGCAAUGCACAGACCAAGGGCAAUCAAAAGAGACUUCGGGGCCUUGGGAAGGUUGGUAAGGGAAUCUGGAGCACUGGUAAUUUUUCCUCUGUCCUUCCAGUUGCAGGCAAUGACACUGGAAGACACAGACAGACCCAGUCUAUUAAUACAUGGCUCUGUGGCUGGUGUCACAGCCACGGUUUUGGGGCUCCUGAGGUAAUAGGAGCUAAGAGAGAAACUGGUGAAACACCUCAAAUGAAUGAUGGUUGUUCCACCAAAAAGGUGACAAGCUGACAGCCCAGCUGAAGUCCCUCUACACCAAUGCAGCCAGCAUGGGCACCUAAAAGGAGGAACUGGAAGCCAUCGUGCUGCUAGAAAGCUUACAACCCAGUUGCCAUAACUGGAGCUCAGAGGAACAAAUCCCAUGACUGGAGUGUGACUGCUGCUGGCUGCAGGCUGUUCAGAAGGGACAGGAGGGGAAGGAGGGGGGGGAAAUGUCAAGAAAUGGAUAGAUUGUGAAAGCUGUUUCAAGAAUAGACACGAGCAGGUUGCAAAGUUAGGGGUAAGAACAGAUACUGAGACAACAACGGAACCUUGUAGCUGGUCUUUACUACAGGCUGCCAGAUCGAGGACAGCCUAUUGAUGUAGCCUUAUUCCAGCUACAGGAAGCAUCACGCUCGCAAGCUCUCAUCCUGCUGGGGGACUUCAGCCACCCCAGUGUCUGCUGGAGAAGUACCAUGGUGAGCUGUAGGCAAUCCUGGAGUGCAUUGAGGAUAACUUCUUAAGCCAGGUGCUUGAGGAUGGGAUUUCACAAGUGACAUGCAGGAGCCUGUCUUGUCUGUCCCUCACUCCAGUGUUGCCACAGCCUCUCUUGCUAAAGAACUCCGAGCUGUGCCAAUAGGUCCAUGGGGUGACCUGGCUGAAAGCUAGCAACAUGGAAAGAGAAGAUGCCUUUUCAAUCGAAUGAACUUCCCAAUAAAGGUAGCCUGGGAGGUCAGCAGUGGUGGUGUGCAAGCAAACAACAAAACUGGAGGCUUAAUAGAGACCAGUCAUAAUUUGCUUGUGAAAGAAGGUCAUAUAUAGUAUAUAACUACAUUGCAGCUAUCAGGAAGCAGAAACCAGAGCUUCUGUUGUGGUGAAAUGAACACAUUUGGGGACAGUACACAAGCAGUCGUUUUGCUUGUGGCUCUGAAGAAAGGUGAAUGCUGGGGGCCAGCUUUUCAUACUCUGCUUUAGUGGUGAAAGUAGGAAUGGAAACUUGCAUAGGCUCUAACAGAGUGAGGAAGAACACUGGUAACAGUUCUGAUAGAACAGUCCUUAAGCUAAAAAUGGUUUAAAAUACUGAUGCACUGUUAAAAUAUGAAGUAUGAAGCCCUACCAUUUAAAUGUGACAUUCAUAUAAGCUUAGGCUUUGGUUAGUAAAGACAUUCAUUAAAUGAGAUUUGCCUACAUCCUUGUUUCAUGGCUGUCUUGCCGCAUCUAUUGAGUGACACUGAUAAGGCUGCUCUCUAGGGGCUCACAAUAAAUUAUGAUGAAACCAAA